GACGGAGGAUGCAAGUGUUAUCCGGAAUCACUGGGCGUAAAGCGUCUGUAGGUGGUUCAAUAAGUCAACUGUUAAAUCUUGAGGCUCAACUUCAAAAUCGCAGUCGAAACUAUUAAACUAGAGUAUAGUAGGGGUAAAGGGAAUUUCCAGUGGAGCGGUGAAAUGCGUAGAGAUUGGAAAGAACACCAAUGGCGAAAGCACUUUACUGGGCUAUGG
rnacentral:rRNA from 1 species